CCUACGGGCGGCUGCAGUGGGGAAUUUUGCGCAAUGCUCGUAAGAGUGACGCAGCGACGCCGCGUGAAGGACGAAGGCCUUCGGGUCGUAAAGUUCUUUCGACAGGGGAGAAAAUGCCUAUAAGUAACUGUGUAUGUAUUGACGGUACCUGUAUAAGCAGCCCCGGCUAACUCCGUGCCAGCAGCCGCGGUACUACGGGGGGGGCGAGCGUUGGUCGGAGUGACUGGGCGUAAAGAGCACGUAGGCGGUGUUGUAAGUCAUUAGUCAAAGACUAGAGAUCAAAUUUAGUAAGGCUAGUGAUACUAUAAUACUAGAGUAGCAGAGAGGAAUGCAGAAUGCCUGGUGUAGCGGUGAAAUGCGUAGAUAUCAGGAGGAAUACCGUUAGCGAAGGCGGCAAUCUGGCUGGAAACUGACGCUGAGGUGCGAAAGCGUGGGUAGCAAACAGGAUUAGAUACCCUUGUAGUC
rnacentral:rRNA from 1 species